rnacentral:rRNA from 1 species
UACGUAGGGUCCGAGCGUUGUCCGGAAUUAUUGGGCGUAAGGAGCUCGUAGGCGGCUUGUCGCGUCGACCGUGAAACCUCACAGCUCAACUGUGAGCCUGCGGUCGAUACGGGCAGGCUAGAGUUCGGUAGGGGAGACUGGAAUUCCUGGUGUAGCGGUGAAAUGCGCAGAUAUCAGGAGGAACACCGGUGGCGAAGGCGGAUCUCUGGGCCAUUACUGACGCUGAGGAGCGAAAGCGUGGGGAGCGAACAGG